UACAGAGGUCUCAAGCGUUGUUCGGAUUCAUUGGGCGUAAAGAGCGUGUAGGCGGCCAGGUAGGUCGGUUGUGAAAACUGGAGGCUCAACCUUCAGAGGUCGACCGAAACCAUCUGGCUAGAGUCCGGGAGAGGAGAGUGGAAUUCCUGGUGUAGCGGUGAAAUGCGCAGAUAUCAGGAGGAACACCGGUGGCGAAGGCGGGUCUCUGGGCCGAUACUGACGCUGAGGAGCGAAAGCGUGGGGAGCGAACAGG
rnacentral:rRNA from 1 species